UGUCCCUAUGGGUUUCAGUGUGUCCCAAUGGGUCUGAAUGUAUCCCUAUGGGUCUCAGUGUGUCGCAGUGGGUCUCAAUGUGUCCCUCCGUGUCUCAGUGUGUCCCAAUGGGUCUCAAUGUAUCCCUAUGGGUCUCAGUGUGUCCCAAUGGGUCUCAGUGUGUCCCAGUGGGUCUCAAUGUGUCCCUACGUGUCCCUGUGUGUCCCUAUGGCUCUCUAUGGGUCUCUAUGGGUCCCUAUGGCUCUCUAUGGGUCUCAGUGUGUCCCAAUGGGUCUCAAUGUAUCCCUAUGGGUCUCAGUGUGUCCCAAUGGGUCUCAGUGUGUCCCAGUGGGUCUCCAUGUGUCCCUACGGCUCUCUAUGGGUCUCAGUGUGUCCCAGUGGGUCUCAAUGUGUCCCUCCGUGUCUCAGUGUGUCCCAAUGGGUCUCAGUGUAUCCCUAUGGGUCUCAUUGUGUCCCAAUGGGUCUCAAUGUAUCUCUAUGGGUCUCAGUGUGUCCCAGUGGGUCUCAAUGUGUCCCAGUGGGUCUCAAUGUGUCCCUACGUGUCCCUGUGUGUCCCUAUGGCUCUCUAUGGGUCUCUAUGGGUCCCUACAGCUCUCUAUGGGUCUCCAUGUGUCCCUACAGCUCUCUAUGGGUCUCUACGGCUCUCUAUGGGUCUCAGUGUGUCCCAGUGGGUCUCAAUGUGUCCCAAUGGGUCUCAGUGUGUCCCUAUGUCUCUCUAUGGGUCUCCAUGUGUCCCUACAGCUCUCUAUGGGUCUCUACGGCUCUCUAUGGGUCUCAGUGUGUCCCAAUGGGUCUCAGUGUGUCCCUAUGUGUCCCUGUGUGUCCCUAUGGCUCUCUAUGGGUCUCUAUGGGUCCCUAUGGCUCUCUAUGGGUCUCAGUGUGUCCCAAUGGGUCUCAAUGUAUCCCUAUGGGUCUCAGUGUGUCCCAAUGGCUCUCAGUGUGUCCCAGUGGGUCUCCAUGUGUCCCUACGGCUCUCUAUGGGUCUCACUGUGUCCCAGUGGGUCUCCAUGUGUCCCUAUGGCUCUCUAUGGGUCUCAGUGUGUCGCAGUGGGUCUCAGUGUGUCCCUAUGGGUCUCAGUGUGUCCCUAUGGGUCUCAGUGUGUCCCUAUGGCUCUCUAUAUGUCUCGGUGUGUCCCAGUUGGUCUCAAUGUGUCCCAAUGGGUCUCAAU
ensembl:lncRNA